CGUAUGGUUGUAAGUUACUUAUUACUGGUAGAGAGAAGAUUGGGGUGCCCUCUUUUGAACCCUAGAGAGAGAUUGUGCAGUGAGUUCAUCUUCUCUCUCUGGUGAGAGAGAGAGAGAGAUAGAGGUUAAUCGGAUUCGUAUCCAUUGUUGUUAGGCGCUGCUGGAUCUAUGUAUGUAUGUAUGUAUCUCCUUCUUUCUUUUUCAAACAUUCUUUUCAGAUCUAGAUUUCAAAUUUCACUAAUUUAUUAUCUGUUGUUGUUGAUUAUAUAGUCUAUCAUAUCUUUUCUUUUAUAAUGUUCCAUGAUUCUUUGAUUUUUCUUUUACAGAUUGAAUGUUCCGUAUUCAUAAAUCGGAAAAGAUAGGUAGUUCAGCCAUAGUUGUUAGGCCCUUCUGUUGCUGCUGCCUGCUACAUACUGUUAACAGUUGAAGACGUACCUAAUUCAAGACUCACACCCAGCGAAAGCUGCUUACAAUGCCUUUCAACACCUCUGAACGUAUACACCUAGCAAGAACAUACAAUGCACUCAACACCCAUGUUUAGACUCUUAACUAUAUUGAAAUUCUGAUUCAGUCUGAUUGGUGAUUGGUUUUAAUAGUUUGAUAAACAUUCUCUAAUUAAUGUAAUAAACACAAAACCCUGUUACAACCAUGCAAUUAAUAUUAAACAAUUCGUG